GCAUUACAUAUAUAUACAUGCAAAUAGAAUGUUUCUUAAAAUUUCUUCCUCUGUGGGUAUAAUGUGUGUUUCCCCACAUUCCUUAAAGAGAGGAAUAAAGCCUUUACCAAAGACUUUGGAAAACCUCCUACUAAAGGUUUUCUAUAAAACUCACAGAAGUUAAAUAAUUGCCUGCCUGCCUUCCCUUUGUGUUUUACUUUGAAUUGUAAAAAUAUAUGAAAACAAAGUAUAGAAAAUAGUAUGAUAUUCCCAAGUAUCCACAGCCAAAUAUAAACAAUGUUAAUAUUUCAUAUUUUCCUCAAAAUUCUUUUGUUUUUAAUUAAAAAUUAUAAACAAAGCUAACCCUGUCCACUCCUACCUGCACAUACACAUUGAUAGGUAACCACUGCCCUCAAGUUGGUAAUUAUCAUUCCUGUGCAAGUUUUUAUUCUUUUGCUAAAUAUGCAUAUUAUAUACUGUUGAUUACUGGUUCUUAUUAUGUACAUAAAGAAAAUAAAUAAAAUUGGAUGCAGAAAUAUCACCAUGAAAAAUGGGUCCAAAUGCUGAAAGACAUCUUUGGAAACAAGAUGUGCCCAGUGAUAUUGGCCCAGGAAGUACAUUUGAGAGUAAGCCUAUGAAGUGCUAAUCUUCUACUACAGUCCAGUGGCUCCAGAAGUGCCCUUUCUCUGGUCUUGGCAGAUGAUCCCAGCACCUGAGCCAAUACCACAGACCCGGCAACAAUGAUCCUAUUUCUUCAGGCAUCCAUCACUAAGAGAAGAAAGAAGGGCUCAUUUUUUUCUAUCUCAGGUGGUACUGACGCCUCAAAGCUAGCACUGUAGUCAAAGGAGUGACCAACGGCCUCAGAGAAACAAUCACAGAAAGAAUUUCUGGCCUUGGAGCAUCUCAGGAAAAAAAAAAUACUACAUGCAUCAGCAGCAGACACUAAUAAUCAGUCACCAGAGAAAAAGACUGACCUCAGAGAAUGACCAGGGAGGUGGAAGAAUUUCAAGUCAAGGCUACAGACCAGGGAUCAAGGAACCAAUGAGAGAGGAGAAGUUCAACAUCAAAAGAGAAGAUCCAUUAUAGAAGAGAAACCUGGCUUCAAAUAGAAAGGCAGAUGAAAAUCAUACAUUACAGCAAAUUUUUUUCCAUAUUGUCCCAGAAGGGAGCAAUGAAUGGUAUAAUAAGGUGGAUUUGGAUUCAGUUCAAGCAAAAGAGAUACUUUCUGGAAAUGAUAGAUUUCUAAAAAUGCAGCAAUUAUAGGAGCAUGUCAUUCACACAAGUGUGCAAGAAAAGACUGGCACUUGAGGUAACACAAAAGGACUGAAUGAGGAGUUGGGCAAGAUUCCUUCUAGCCUGGAGAUUCCAUAACUAUGUCCCUAUGUUCACAGAAGAUGGACUUUGAGUACUUAGUUCAGAGCCCAACUUCCUCCAUUCUAAAAAAAGCUAGUGCAUUUUCAGAAAUACCCAGCUAUUAGAAAGUAUUUCAGACAAAGGAGUUUUCUUCAAUAUUUAUGCCAUUCUCCAGUACCCAGUACAAUGUUGAGCACACCGUGGGUUCUCACUAUUUGUUUAAGAAAUGGAAUAGGAGCACCUUGGUGGCUCAGUAAGUUGGGCACCCGACAUAGGCUCAGGUCAUAGUCUAACAGUUCAUGGGUUCAGGCCCUGCAUCAGACUCUGUCCUGACAGCUCAGAGCCUGGAGCCUAUUUGGAUUCUGUGUCUCCCUCUCUCUCUGCCCCUCCCCCACUCAUGUGCUGCUUCUCUCUCUCUCUCUUAAAAUGAAUACACAUUAAAAAUUUUUUAACAAAUAAAUGGAAUAAAGGAAGGGAGGGAAGGAACUAA
rnacentral:lncRNA from 1 species